AUUUCGUUUCGCUUUUUUUUUCUAAAGAAAACUGAAUAACUAAAAAUGUAAAAUACCCAUUUUUUCAAAUUCUAAAAAAUUUGGAGGAAAAAAAUGGUUGUUUAAUGGUUCAAAAGGUGCGAGGGAAGAGUAUAUCGUUUGCCUCCUACCUAAUUUUGCAGUAAUUACUUAAAACCGGAUUUCUAAUUUUGAAGUCUAAACAAAGCAACCGACAUAAGCAAUAUUAAAUUUAAUGACUUAUGAGAUAGUAUCUUACGAUAGGCUACUUAAUUCCAACCAAUUAAAUAAUGACAUGUCAGAUUCAUCUAACCCUCAUAUCACCUAGAUUAAUCGUUGAUCAAUUAUGAGGCUUCCUUCGCUUUACAUUUAACCCAUUUGCUAUUUUUUUUAAUUAUGCUUUCAAAUAGCCGUGAAUAGACCCAAAUUAUUUGACAAGCAGAUCGUAACCCACGCAGACUCAUCCACUUCGUCUUCCUCCUCUUCCUCCUCCUCUGAAAAUCUCUUCCGUUAUCUCAACCUCCAAAAUUUCUCUGAAACGUUCUCACGCUAUCUACUGUUUCAAUUCUCCGCCUCCACACAAUAUAUAUGUCUCCACGCUUUGGCUUUUCACCUUCACAAAAGUCAUCAGACCCUAAUAGUCGAAGGAACCAAUGGCGCUAUCAAAAUGGUGAAAUCUAAUGGCAAGGAACCCACAACUCUGAUCUUCAACGACUUCACUCUUGGUUUGGGAGAGGCGGAGCUCUGUUUCCGGUUAGUACACUUAUGGGAUGCACAAAACACAUCCAGAGGGGGUAUGCUUAUUAGUGUUGAACUGCUUAUGACCAAUGAACAUGGUGUUGUUGUACCAUUUGUUUGACGGUCGCAGUCUCUCCAUUAGUUUCACACACAAUUCCGCUUCAAGACAACCAGGUGGUGAUUGACUCAGAUAGAUUCAGUUUCCAUUCAUUAAAAGAUUUUGAGGCGCCUAAGAGGUGACUCUACAAUAAGAUUUAUUUUUUGUCACCUCCUAUAAUUAUUUACUUAAAUUUUGUACCUUUGCUAAGGCUCCCCUCGAGGACUAAUUUCUUCAAUGAUUGUGGCUGACGUAGUUGGGCACAUGAAGCUCAUCAAUGAGCAGCCUCUCUACCAACAGCCGGUUCUUGACAGAAUGGACAGAGCAAGUUGGCGAGUUUUGGUGCAUCUACAGUCUAAAGAGUAGCAGAUGCAGUGUCAUAGUAAAAUUUGUCCUAUGAUGUUAACUCAGAGCUUGAUUUUAGAUCAACAUGCAAGAUUAUUAUGUUAAUGUUUUACUUUUACUGAUUUUGUGUCUCAUUUUAUUGAAGCACCUGAAAGAAGAGAUGGGGUUGGGCUAUCUGGCUCAGAAGAUUAUUUCAGUUGGCCCCCUAUCUCCAGCAUCCCGGAAUAGUUCUUAGAAUGUUCAUUAAUUCUUCAAUCUUAAUCUCAAGAAACCAACAUGAUUAACCGCAUACGUCUGAGUACAGACUUUGACACCCGUAACUUUUAACCACCAAACAAGCUUUUGGCACUAACUUAUUCCUAAACCUAAAACUGCAGAGAUUUUCUUUUGCCUUGGACUUCUUUUUGUUGUAAUGACUGUCUUAGUUCCUUCAGUUCAACCUCUUUUCUCCCACGGAUUUUACAGUUUUGAGUAUCGUGCGGUAAUGAAUUAGACUCUCUUCUUCUUUUCCGUUGGAUUCUCUUUCAUUUUUUCGUAUGACUCAUUGCGGUUCUUAGGUUACAGUGUUCCAAUGAGCCCACUUGCUGAACAUAGAUUCAUGAAAAUAUGGGGAACCGAGUUUCUUUUUCAGCUCAUAAAGAUGCAUACAUGACAUUGUCAUCUGUUCUACAGAUAUUUAGCUAUUGUUUGCAGCUGUAUAAACCAACCUUUAGCCUUUUGUAGUUCCUGUAUUUGAUCGUAGCUACGUCAGCGUUGACCUUUUUUUGUUGUUGUGCAGGUAGGAUGAGAGGCUUCAUAGAUUGGGUUUUCCAUCUACCCAACUUGAUGGCAUCAUCAUCUAUACUGCUUUUGGAGAGUGACCCUUUCUCCCGAGAGAAUGAAGAAAAGAAUAACCAGUGCUGUUGGGAAUUGCUACAGUUUGUGUUAAGAUCACGAAGCUGCUCUUAAGAUGUUUCAGAUAGCUAUCCAACUGAAUUAAAGAUUCACAUAUGCACAUACCCUUUGUGGUCAUGCGUACAAUUUUUUCGAGGCCAGUGUAUCCAUCUUCUAAGCCGGUAAAAAGAUUGGGACAAGCUGGAAGCUGAAGUGAAGACCAUGUUCCUCUUUUAGCUCCACAGAGGCGCUCAAGUGGAUACGCAGGAAUGGUGACAGAGAGAUAACAUUGGUAGCAGAGAGAAGCUCCAGAGAAAGCAGGGACAAAGCCAUUGGCUGGCCGAGUUAUCUUGAGAGGGAAAAGAAGAAAGGCUCAAAAAUACGAGUUAAUUAUCAACAAAAUCUAGAGGAGCAGAGCUGAAUACUGGGGAGAUUCUCUUGCGUCUUGCAAGGAUAACAUAAGGAAAUUGAAUAGGACCUGACUGUGGCUAUGUGCUUAGUUUUGGUUUACUGAUUUUAAUCGCUUAUGAUCCUAAGUUAUGGAACUAGAAGCUACUCACGACUAUACUCUAUAGAAUUGCAGCAGUGGUGCCAUUAGAAUCUACAUGAACAUGCAUGUAACAAAAAUGAAGUGGCUCAAAUAAGAGAGUCAAAACAAGAACCGUGGAUUGAAAGAGAGUGAUAGAAUGUUUGCUUACUUCCUAGGCUCAGAUCCCUUAACCUCUUAUUAAAGGAGAAGCUGUCAAAUGUGUUUCCAGUACUUAAUACUCCAUCCGUUCCCGAAAGUAAGAUUUUCUAGAGUUUCUUCUUGUUCCACAAAAAUAGAUUUUCUAUAUUUUUAAGGUACUUUGUAUACUUUUGAGAAACAUUAAUUAUGAAUAUUUGAAUUGAUUAAAUUUUAUUGGUGGAUAGUUAUUGGAAAGUGUAUUGAAAAGUAAAUUGUAGAUUAAAUUGUAGAUUAAAUUGUAAACAUUUAUUAUUUUCUUAAUAAACGUGAAAACUCUAGAAAAUCUUACUUUCGGGAACAGAGAGAAUAUUAAAAACACACCAUGUUUAUUUUUUCUUUUUGAUCAAACACCAUGUUUACCCUUAUUGAGAUAUUGUCCAGUUCAUGUACUCUAAUAGUAACUGAAGGUAUUGCUGUAUAUAUAUGGACAUUCUUUCAAAGGUGAUUUCAAAGGUGAUAGAGAUGGUGUCACAAAACUACGAACGAAUCUUUCAUAAUACACUCAUAAAUUUAUGAAUAUGAUUUGAGUAAGAAAAAAAUUAUUCACGUGGGAUGAAAACGGUCAAGAAUUAAUGAAAAGAAAACAAAAUUUAUGAGGAAAGUUUAUUGUGUAUAUACAAAAAAAAAGUUACAAAGAGAAUGAAGAACUAAGGCGGACACAAAUAACAAAAACCAAGCAAAAACACAUAUACAAACCAAAAUUAAUUAUACCUCAUAAUUCAAAUGAAAAAAACAAUCACACGAUUAUAUAUAAAUCAUUUCAGAAUCAUUCAAUCACAAAACUUAAAUGAAAACAAAAACAAAAAAAAUAAUAACGCGCAAUACACGUAUUGGAAUUUGCCAUAAAUUCUUAGCACUGACAUCAGAUAAUCCAGACGUAAAAAAUAUUAGAAAUAUUAAAAUGGAUAUACACUAUCCUUUCCGUUUAUUUAAAAUAAUUAAUAGAUAAACACAAUUUGAAUAUAUUUCAUAUAAAAUAAUAAAAAUUAAUGUAUUACAACUAAUUAACCUAACAUUCAAUAUGUAAAAAAUAUCUUUUGCUAUUCUUCUUUGUUAACCAAAUAAAAAAAAUUAUAUCAUAACAACUCAAUAUAAAAUUACUGUCAUACAUUUUAAAACAAAAUUGGUAUGAUACUUUAUUAAAUAAAUGUUUAAAGAAAAAAUGAAACAUGAAAAAAUAGAAAAUAUAUCAAAAGAAAAUGGAACAAAAAACAAACAUUAUAUAAUAACUAAUUAAAAUACACAAUCCACGCAGAGCUCGGAAAAAAAUCUCUAGUUGACAUAAAGAGACUCGAGAACAAUCAUAGAAGUGGAGAAGUGAAGUAAAAAUUACAUAACGUUUAUUAGAAACAUGAACUCCUCCUACAAGGCUAAGAGACCAAAUAAAAUAAGCAAAACAGAGUCUAAGAAACAUGAGGGAACAAGGCAAAA